GAGGCUUUAGCUUAAUUAAAGUGUCUGAGUUGCAUUCAGAAGAUGCGUGCUAGAGUUGCGCAGGUCUUC
rnacentral:tRNA from 1 species